GAUGAACGCUGGCGGCGUGCCUAAUACAUGCAAGUCGAGUGAACAGAUGAGGAGCUUGCUCCUCUGACGUUAGCGGCGGACGGGUGAGUAACACGUGGAUAACCUACCUAUAAGACUGGGAUAACUUCGGGAAACCGGAGCUAAUACCGGAUAAUAUAUUGAACCGCGUGGUUCAAUAGUGAAAGACGGUUUUGCUGUCACUUAUAGAUGGAUCCGCGCCGCAUUAGCUAGUUGGUAAGGUAACGGCUUACCAAGGCAACGAUGCGUAGCCGACCUGAGAGGGUGAUCGGCCACACUGGAACUGAGACACGGUCCAGACUCCUACGGGAGGCAGCAGUAGGGAAUCUUCCGCAAUGGGCGAAAGCCUGACGGAGCAACGCCGCGUGAGUGAUGAAGGUCUUCGGAUCGUAAAACUCUGUUAUUAGGGAAGAACAAAUGUGUAAGUAACUAUGCACGUCUUGACGGUACCUAAUCAGAAAGCCACGGCUAACUACGUG
rnacentral:rRNA from 1 species